AUUGAACGCUGGCGGCAUGCCUUACACAUGCAAGUCGAACGGCAGCAUGAUCUAGCUUGCUAGAUUGAUGGCGAGUGGCGAACGGGUGAGUAAUACAUCGGAACGUGCCCUGUAGUGGGGGAUAACUAGUCGAAAGAUUAGCUAAUACCGCAUACGACCUGAGGGUGAAAGUGGGGGACCGCAAGGCCUCAUGCUAUAGGAGCGGCCGAUGUCUGAUUAGCUAGUUGGUGGGGUAAAGGCCCACCAAGGCGACGAUCAGUAGCUGGUCUGAGAGGACGAUCAGCCACACUGGGGACUGAGACACGGCCCAGACUCCUACGGGAGGCAGCAGUGGGGAAUUUUGGACAAUGGGCGAAAGCCUGAUCCAGCAAUGCCGCGUGUGUGAAGAAGGCCUUCGGGUUGUAAAGCACUUUUGUCCGGAAGAAAUGGCUCUGGUUAAUACCUGGGGUCGAUGACGGUACCGGAAGAAUAAGGACCGGCUAACUACGU
rnacentral:rRNA from 1 species